rnacentral:rRNA from 1 species
UGACACUGAACACUGGUCCUUGAUGUGUAGGAUAGGUGGGAGGCUUUGAAGCGUGGACGCCAGUCUGCGUGGAGCCAACCUUGAAAUACCACCCUUUAAUGGCUGGUGUUCUAACGUAGACCCGUUACCCGGGUUGCGGACAGUGUCUGGUGGGUAGUUUGACUGGGGCGGUCUCCUCCCAAAGAGUAACGGAGGAGCACGAAGGUUGGCUAAUCCUGGUCGGACAUCAGGAGGUUAGUGCAAUGGCAUAAGCCA